rnacentral:rRNA from 1 species
UGGGGAAUAUUGGACAAUGGGGGAAACCCUGAUCCAGCAAUGCCGCGUGAAUGAUGAAGGCCUUAGGGUUGUAAAGUUCUUUCACCUGUGAAGAUAAUGACGGUAGCAGGAGAAGAAGCCCCGGCAAACUCCGUGCCAGCAGCCGCGGUAAGACGGAGGGGGCUAGCGUUGUUCGGAAUGACUGGGCGUAAAGGGCGCGUAGGCGGUGUCUUAAGUGAGGCGUGAAAGCCCCGGGCUUAACCCGGGAGGUGCGUUUCAUACUGAGAUGCUAGAGUGCGAGAGAGGAAAGUGGAAUUCCUAGUGUAGAGGUGAAAUUCGUAGAUAUUAGGAAGAACACCAGAGGCGAAGGCGGCUUUCUGGCUCGUAACUGACGCUGAGGCGCGAAAGCGUGGGGAGCAAA